rnacentral:tRNA from 1 species
CAGUGGUUAGUUUAAUAAAAAUAUUAAUUUUGGAGAUUAAAGAUGGGAUUUAUUCUUUUCACUGA